AUAGAAAUGGGCGAUGACAUUGAGCCCAUGGAGGUGGACCUGCCUGACAGUGAUGAAGUGCCCAUGGAGGUGGAUCCACCUCCUGAGGACGACCUGAUGAAAGUGGAUCCACCUCCAUCAGAGCAGAUGGGUCACCACACCAUCACUGUCAGGCCAACCAGAAAGAGAUCUUACCCCAGAGGUCAUCACAGGGGUGCCAGGAUUUGUCCAGCUCCCUCCAAAUGGCUGCCUCGAUGCUGGCACUGAUCCUCUCAUCCUCCAAGGCUCCUAUGAGCCCAUCCUUGCUGUUCCUCUCCCUCGUCCCUCCCCGAGACCUCUCAUCUUGUCUUCUCCAAGUCCUGAGGAAGACGGCAAGGCAGCAGGAGGAGUCCCACGGAGGGUCCUCAUCUGCUGGGGCCUCGAGUAUUGCAGAGGCACAAGGAUCCCGAAAAACUAAUAACAGGAAACCACAGGAAGAUACACUACAUCGUCUCAUCCUCCCCGAUGUCACU
rnacentral:lncRNA from 1 species